rnacentral:rRNA from 1 species
AUUGAACGCUGGCGGCAUGCCUUACACAUGCAAGUCGAACGGCAGCACGGGUGCUUGCACCUGGUGGCGAGUGGCGAACGGGUGAGUAAUACAUCGGAACAUGUCCUGUAGUGGGGGAUAGCCCGGCGAAAGCCGGAUUAAUACCGCAUACGAUCUACGGAUGAAAGCGGGGGACCUUCGGGCCUCGCGCUAUAGGGUUGGCCGAUGGCUGAUUAGCUAGUUGGUGGGGUAAAGGCCUACCAAGGCGACGAUCAGUAGCUGGUCUGAGAGGACGACCAGCCACACUGGGACUGAGACACGACCCAGACUCCUACGGGAGGCAGCAGUGGGGAAUUUUGGACAAUGGGCGAAAGCCUGAUCCAGCAAUGCCGCGUGUGUGAAGAAGGCCUUCGGGUUGUAAAGCACUUUUGUCCGGAAAGAAAUCCUUGGCCCUAAUACGGUCGGGGGAUGACGGUACCGGAAGAAUAAGCACCGGCUAACUACGUG